rnacentral:rRNA from 1 species
UACGUAGGUGGCAAGCGUUGUCCGGAUUUACUGGGCGUAAAGAGCGCGCAGGCGGUCGUUCAAGUCGCGUGUGAAAGCCCCCGGCUCAACUGGGGAGGGUCACGCAAUACUGAUCGACUCGAAGGCAGGAGAGGGUAGUGGAAUUCCCGGUGUAGUGGUGAAAUGCGUAGAUAUCGGGAGGAACACCAGUGGCGAAGGCGACUACCUGGCCUGUUCUUGACGCUGAGGCGCGAAAGCUAGGGUAGCAAACGGG